GAUGAACGCUGGCGGCGUGCCUAAUACAUGCAAGUCGAGCGAAGCGGGGACGGGUGAGUAACACGUGGAUAACCUCCUAUAUGACUGGGGUAACCUCGGGAAACCGGAGCUAAACCGGAUUCUUAUAGAUGGAUCCGCGCUGUAUUAGCUAGUUGGUAAGGUAACGGCUUACCAAGGCAACGAUGCAUAGCAGACCGGGGGGGGGGAUCGGCCACACGGGAACUGGAACAGGGCCCAGACCCCUAGGGAAGGCAGCAGUGGGGAAACUUCCGCAAUGGGCGAAGGCCUGACGGGGCAAGGCGGGGGGAGGAAGGAAGGUCUUGGGUUCGAAAAACUCUGUUAUUAGGAAAACGGUACCUAAGCAGAAAGCCACGGCUAACUACGUGCCAGCGGCGGCGGAAAUU
rnacentral:rRNA from 1 species